UCAAGGGGCUUGAUGAGGGAAUUUUGUCGAUGAAGGUUGGAGGACUACGUCGGCUGUACAUACCUGGGCCAGUGAGUACGAUCAAACUGAACUAGUCAACUACUCCUAUAAUAUAUAGUUGAAAAUGAAGGAAGACGAGAUAGCAAUCUGAAGAACUUGUUGUUCUGAGGAUUUGAACGGGACAGUGAUGAUUUCCUUUUCUUGAUUAUGAACAGUUAGCGUUCCCUAAGGGUCUUACUUCUGCUCCUGGAAGGCCAAGAGUACCCCCAAGCAGCCCUGUCGUUUUCGACGUCAAUUUACUGUACAUACCAGGUCUCGAUGAUGAGUGAAGGCAUUCUGUGGCAACAGUCAUCUUUUUUUGUAUACUUCAUUCGAGAGCAACAUACUGUACAUCUAGAGCACAAUUCUUUCAAGCUAUAAAAUCUAUGCGAAUAUCUAUGUUAACCACAUCAUAAACUCUCAAGAAUUGGAGUGUUUUAGAUCUAGAAUUUUCCUGGCAAAAUGAUUAGAAAAAUACUGAUUGGUGAAAUCGCGCAUUCUAUAUCAACCAAGAAGUUACGUCCAAAAAAAAUUAUCAACCAAGUAGUGGGCUGGGUAUCCAGAAUUUGGACAUUCAAAACGAAUACAAAGGCAAAUGGUUGUUCAAAAAUUUAUAGAUGUUUGCCCAGAGAUAAUGAGAAAAAAUACCUCAAAAAACAAAAUAAGUCAAACACAAGAAACCAAUAAACUCGUACUCUUUUACAGGUCUAGUGGAUGUCAAGGAACAAUCCCUAAAUUUGAGGAAUCACUACUUUAAAACAUGGCAACGGAUUAGAUUUUGCCAAUAUAAGUACCCAUUGAAAUACACAUAUAUGUAUAACAUUGUACACUUGAAACAGAUAAUAGGUGUCUCUUGAGCACCAUAUUUGCCACCUAGGAGACUGGACGGUCCGGCUUUGUAGCCGGACGGUUCGAGCCGCGGACGAUUCAUCCUUAGACACGGACGGUCCGCAAGUUGAUUAGAUCAGGCGUGAUUAGGAACAGGUCUAGACCUCCCUAUAUACGACCGAUUAUAGGCACCAUCAAUCGAACCAAUCAAUUUGUUUAUCAAUUCCUUUACUUUCUUGUCCUACGAAUAGCUAGUAACGUAGCCUUCUUCGUCUCAAUCUUCAUCUCUCUGCAACUAUACGUCGUCUAGAGGUGUCUUGGAUGGCCUAUCGAUUCCAAGACAAACCUUAGGAUAUCUCCUCUCUGACGGGGUCCCUCCCGGAGGCGAGAUCCAGGUGCCGUUGGCGAACGCCGCCACCCCUGCGCACACGCGGACGGUUCAGCCACCAGGCACGGACCGUCCGACUCAACUCAGGGAACUGCGCUCCUGCCGCCAGGUCACGGACUGUCCGACCCUAGACCGCAGACCGUCCGUGCUGCUGUAGAGAGCUCGCUGAGCGGAACAACUCCCAGUGAUUGUUGACCAGAUCGACGCCAGCAGUGCCAUUGUGCCAACACAACUCACUGAAUGUCUUAGCAGUGAAAAUGUGAUGUUGAAGACAACACCAAGCCAAAUCUAGUCUUAUAUUUCAUAAUGAUAGGAGUAAUAAGCACCAGCCAAGACCAACCUUUAUACCCCUUUGGAAUAAAAGAUUUAGAAACACAUGAAUAUGAAAACAUAGAAUUUAAAUGCCCUAACAUUUCAAAUCCUACAUGAUUUAAGAAUGAAGGAAAGUCUAGAAAUGCACCUUUUGAAACAACAUAGGGAAAACAUAAAAAAACAAAAUAAUGAGAAUUUUUAUUUCUUUUGAAACAACAUAGGGAAAAUAUAGGGUUUUUGUCAUCUUGUUCCUCCACAAAAAGGUAUUAAUAUUCUGUACUACAAUUGGCUAUGCAAAAUUAAAAGAAAGCAAGAUGAUAAUCUUGACAGAUACAAAGCUCAACUAGUUGCCAAAGAUUUUAAACAGUAGUAUGAUAUAAAUUAUGUAUGCACAUUUAGUCUGGUAAUUAAGCUAGUGACUAUCAGAGUUGUACUAUCAUUUGUUGUCUCUAGGGGUUAAACACUAUGGCAACUAAACAUGAAGAACACUUUCUUCAUAGGAUACUUGGGGAUGAGGUAUAUGUGAAGCAACCACUAGGAUAUGAGGGCUUAAAUCACCCAAGUAUAUAAGCAAGUUGAACAAAGCACUCUAUGGUCUCAAACUUAUGUCAAUAGCUUGGUAAUCAUGCUUGAGUAAGAAACUCUACGAUCUCAGUUGUGAAAUAUCAAAGAUGAUGCAUUGCACUGUGUUCCAAACAAGUUGUAUCUGGUCUCCUACAUGACUUACUGAAAUAUUUUGCAGCGAAUGACUUAGGAGAGCUACACUAUUUCCUUGGUACUAAGGUUAGAAGGAUUCCCAAAGUGAGAGCACCUAGAGGGGGGUGAAUAGGUGAUCCUGUAAAACUUGAAACUUAAUGCCACAAAACUUGAUUAGGAGUUAGCACAAUAAUGCCAAGUGGCUAUAGAGGAGUCUUAGCAAAACGCAAUAACCACAAAGAGAUCAACACAGAGAUGGCACAGUGGUUUAUCCCGUGGUUCGGCCAAGUCCAAUACUUGCCUACUCCACGUUGUGGCGUCCCAACGGACGAGGGUUGCAAUCAACCCCUCUCAAGCGGUCCAAAGACCCACUUGAAUACCACGGUAUUUUGCUUUGUUUACUAUAUCCCGCUCGCGAGAAAUCUCCACAACUUGGAGCCUCUCGCCCUUACACUUUGAUGUUCACAAAGAAGCACAGAGUAAGGGAGGGAUGAGCAACGCACACAAGACACAAAAUCACAGCAAAUACGCACACACAAGACCCAGACUUGAGCUCAAAAGAAUAUCACGAGGUUCUCACUAGAACGGAGCUCAAAUCACUAAGAAUGUCGAACAAGUGCGCAAGAAUGAAGUGUGAGUGAUCAACAAUGCUCAAAGGAUGCUUGGUGUUCUCCUCCAUGCGCCUAGGGGUCUCUUUUAUAGCCCCAAGGCAGCUAGGAGCCAUUGAGAGCAUUCCAGGAAGGCAAUUCUUGCCUUCUGUCGCCUGGCGCACCGGACAGUCCGGUGCAGAUCUCUUUCCUUAUUUGACGAAGCCGACCGUUGCAGAUUCAGAGCCGUUGGCGCACCGGACACUGUCCGGUGCCCGCUUGUGACCGUUGGCUCUGCCACGUGUCACGCGCGGAAUCCUCGGCCGACCGUUGGCCUAGCUGACCGUUGGCUCACCGGAUAGUCCGGUGCACCACCGGACAGUCCGGUGAUUUUUAGUCGUACGCCGUUAAUCACUUCCCGAGAGCGAUGACUUCGCCUUUGAACGGCUCACUGGACAGUCUGGUGCACCACCGGACAAUCCGGUGAUUUAUAGUCGUACGUCGUUGAUCGUCUCCCGAGAGCAGCCAGUUGACAGUCGCCAGCCUGGCGCACCGGACACUGUCCGGUGCACCACCGGACAGUCCGGUGCACCACCGGACAGUCCGGUGCUCCCAGACUGAACUGUCUUUGGCUGAAGAAAGCUAUCUCUUUUCCAAAGUGAUUUUUCCUGUUUCCAGCACUUAGACACAAUACAUUAGCUCUUAAAACAAUGUACUAAGUUUAGAAACAUACCUUUAAUCUUGAUUUGCACUUUGUCCAUCAAUUUGCAUAGAUUUACACUUAAGCACUUGUGUUGGCACUCAAUCACCAAAAUACUUAGAAAUGGCCCAAGGGCACAUUUCCCUUUCAAUCUCCCCCUUUUUCGUGAUUUAUGCCAACACAACACAAAGCAACUAGAACAAGUGCAAUAUCAAUACAAAUGAGAAGUCAAAAUUGUUUUGAUUCAAAUUUGGCAUAUAUGGAUCACUCUUUGCCACCACUUGGUUUUGUUUUUGCAAAUUAACCUCAAUUUCCUAUCUCUAAGUCAAACACACUUGUUGAGACAUAGAGUUGUUCCAAGAGAAAUUGAUCAAAGAUUUCAAAAACUCCCCCUUUUUCCCAUAAUCAACCAUUCUCCCCACAAGAAGCCAACUUUUGACAAGAGAGACAAUAAGAGAGUUUUGUCAAACCAAAAGCUCUAUUCUCCUAUUUUCAAAAAUUCUCAAGUGGUAGCUGAUCCAUUUAUUGCUUUGGCCUUAUUUUCUCCCCCUUUGGCAUCAAGCACCAAAACGGGAUCAAUCUUGGCCCUUAAACCUCAUUGCCUCACAAAAAUCUUCAAACGAGAGUGCAAAGGCAAUAAGAAUAUGGGGAUGAACUUGGAGUGAGUUACCCUCUCAUCGGAGUGCAGUGGAAGUCUUGCAUGGUCCAAGUUCACCUUUUCCCUUUCAAUCCACCUUUGAGACUAAAUCAAACAAGCUCAAAUACAUGGUUAGUCUCAAAGGGUCAAGUUGUAGCACAUCUCCCCCUAAAUAUGUGCAUCACUUGCAAAAGGACUUGCGAGGUCCGUAGAGUGUUUGUACAACUUGAGCACCAUAAGUAAACAACAAAAUGCAUAAGGAACAUGAUCAAAGGCAUAAACACAUGUAUGCUAUAAAUCAAUCCAAGUUCCGCGAAUCUAAGACAUUUAGCUCACUCCGCAGCCUGCAAAAGGUCUUCUCAUCUAAAGGCUUGGUAAAGAUAUCGGCUAGCUGGUUCUCGGUGCUAACAUAAAACACUUCGAUAUCUCCCUUUUGCUGGUGGUCUCUCAAAAAGUGAUGCCGGAUGUCAAUGUGCUUUGUGCGGCUGUGCUCAACAGGAUUAUCCGCUAUGCGGAUAGCACUCUCAUUAUCACAUAGGAGUGGGACUUUGCUCAAAUUGUAGCCAAAGUCCCAGAGGGUUUGCCUCAUCCAAAGUAGUUGCGCGCAACACUGUCCUGCGGCAACAUACUCGGCCUCAGCGGUGGAUAGGGCAACUGAAGUUUGUUUCUUAGAAUUCCAUGACACCAGGGACCUUCCUAAGACGCAUGUCCCCGAUGUACUCUUCCUAUCGAUCUUACAUCCAGCAUAGUCGGAAUCUGAAUAUCCAAUCAAAUCAAAGGUAGACCCCUUUGGAUACCAGAUCCCGAAGCAAGGCGUAGCGACUAAAUAUCUAAGAAUUCGCUUCACGGCCACUAAGUGACACUCCCUUGGAUCGGAUUGAAAUCUAGCACACAUGCAUACACUAAGCAUAAUAUCCGGUCUACUAGCACAUAAAUAAAGUAAAGACCCUAUCAUAGACCGGUAUGCCUUUUGAUCAACGGACUUACCUCCUUUGUUGAGGUCGGUGUGUCCGUCGGUUCCCAUUGGAGUCUUUGCGGGCUUGGCGUCCUUCAUCCCAAACCGCUUUAGCAAGUCUUGUGUGUACUUUGUUUGGGAGAUGAAGGUGCCGUCCUUGAGUUGCUUCACUUGGAACCCAAGGAAAUAGUUCAACUCGUCCAUCAUCGACAUCUCAAACUUUUGAGUCAUCACCCUGCUAAACUCUUCACAAGACUUUUGGUUAGUAGAACCAAAUAUUAUGUCAUCGACAUAAAUUUGGCAUACAAAUAAGUCACCAUCACAAGUCUUAGUGAAUAAAGUUGGAUCGGCUUUCCCAACCUUGAAAGCAUUAGCAAUUAAAAAGUCUCUAAGGCAUUCAUACCAUGCUCUUGGGGCUUGCUUAAGUCCAUAGAGCGCCUUAGAGAGCUUACAUACGUGGUCGGGGUACCGUUCGUCCUCAAAGCCAGGGGGUUGCUCCACGUACACCUCCUCCUUGAUUGGCUCGUUGAGGAAAGCGCUCUUCACAUCCAUUUGGAACAACCUGAAAGAAUGGUGAGCGGCAUAUGCUAGCAAAAUACAAAUAGACUCUAGCCUAGCCACAGGAGCAAAAGUCUCCUCAAAGUCCAAACCUGCGACUUGGGCAUAACCUUUUGCCACAAGUCGAGCCUUGUUCCUCAUCACCACCCCGUGCUCGUCCUGUUUGUUGCGGAACACCCACUUGGUUCCCACAACAUUUUGCUUGGGACGCAGCACCAGUGUCCAAACUUCAUUACGCUUGAAGUUGUUGAGCUCUUCCUGCAUGGCCAACACCCAGUCCGGAUCUAGCAAGGCCUCUUCUACCCUGAAAGGCUCAAUAGAAGAGACAAAGCAAUAAUGCUCACAAAAAUUAACUAAUCUAAAACGAGUAGUUACUCCCUUGCUAAUGUCACCCAAAAUUUGGUCGACGGGAUGAUUCCUUUGAAUCGUCGCUCGAACUUGGGUUGGAGGUGCCGGUUGUGCUUCUUCCUCCAUCACAUGAUCAUCUUGUGCUCCCCCUUGAUCACACGCCUCUUCUUGAUGAACCUGUUCAUCGUCUUGAGUUGGGGGAUGCACCAUUGUUGAGGAAGAAGGUUGAUCUUGCUCCUUGAGUUCCUGCGGUCGCACGUCUCCAAUCGCCAUGGUGCGUAUUGCGGCCGUUGGAACGUCUUCUUCAUCUACAUCAUCAAGAUCAACAACUUGCUCUCUUGGAGAGCCAUUAGUCUCAUCAAAUACAACGUCGCUAGAGACUUCAACCAAACCCGAUGAUUUGUUGAAGACUCUAUACGCCUUUGUAUUUGAGUCAUAACCUAAUAAAAACCCUUCUACUGCUUUGGGAGCAAAUUUGGAAUUCCUACCCUUCUUCACUAGAAUGUAGCAUUUACUCCCAAAAACUCGGAAAUACGAAACAUUGGGUUUGUUACCGGUUAGAAGCUCAUACGAAGUCUUCUUGAGGAGGCGGUGAAGGUAGACCCGGUUGAUGGCGUGGCAAGCUGUGUUCACGGCUUCCGACCAAAACCGCUCGGGGGUCUUGAACUCUCCAAGCAUCAUCCUCGCCAUGUCUAUGAGUGUCCUGUUCUUCCUCUCUACCACACCAUUUUGCUGUGGUGUGUAGGGAGCGGAGAACUCGUGCUUGAUCCCUUCCUCCUCAAGGUACUCCUCCACUUGAAGGUUCUUGAACUCGGACCCGUUGUCGCUCCUUAUCUUCUUCACCUUGAGUUCAAACUCAUUUUGAGCUCUCCUUAGGAAGCGCUUGAGGGUCCCUUGGGUUUCAGAUUUAUCCUGCAAAAAGAAUACCCAAGUGAAGCGGGAAAAAUCAUCAACUAUAACAAGACCAUACUUACUUCCUCCUAUGCUUAGAUAGGCGACGGGUCCGAAGAGGUCCAUAUGAAGCAUCGCCAACGGUCUUGAUGUGGUCAUCACAUUUUUGGUAUGAUGAGAGCUUCCCACCUGUUUACCUGCUUGACAAGCUGCACAAGGUCUAUCUUUUUCGAAAGUUACAUUAGUUAGACCUAUCAUGUGUUCUUCCUUUAGAAGCUUGUGAAGGUUCUUCAUCCCCACAUGAGCUAAACGGCGAUGCCACAGCCAGCCCAUGCUAGUCUUAGCAAUUAAGCAUGCAUCUAGACCGACCUUCUCUUUUGCAAAAUCAACUAAGUAGAGUUUGCCGUCUAAUACACCCUUAAAAGCUAAUGAACCAUCACUUCUUCUAAAGACAGACACAUCUACAUUUGUGAAUAAGCAGUUAUAUCCCAUAUUGCAUAAUUGAUUAACAGAUAACAAAUUAUAUCCAAGCGACUCAACUAAAAAUACAUUAGAAAUGGAGUGCUCGGAUGAAAUAGCAAUUUUUCCUAACCCUUUCACCUUGCCUUGGUUCCCAUCACCGAAUAUGAUUGAAUCUUGGGAAUCCUUGUUCUUGACGUAGGAAGAGAACAUCCUCUUUUCCCCCGUCAUGUGGUUUGUGCAUCCGAUGUCGAUAAUCCAGCUUGAUCCCCCGGAUGCAUAAACCUGCAAGGCAAAUUUAGGCUUCGGUCUUAGGUACCCAACUCUUGUUGGGUCCUACAAGGUUAGUACAAAUAGUCUUAGGGACCCAAAUUCAAGUUUUAUCUCCCUUGCAUUUUGCACCUAAUUUUCUAGCAAUUAUCUUCUUAUCCUUUCUACAAAUAGCAAAGGAAGCAUUUAAAGCAUGAUAGAUUGUAGAAGGUUCAUUACUUGUUUUCCUAGGUACAUGAGCAUUUCUCCUAGGUAUAUGUUGAAUGACAUUUUUCCUAGCCAAACUUCUAUCAUACAUCAUAGAAGAACUUGAAGCAAACAUUGCAUUUGAAUCAUAAGCAUGUGAAACAACAUCACUGCAAUUUCUAUCAUGAUGAACAUCCCUAGAAUAUUUCCUAUCAUGGUAUAAGAAAGCAUGGUUCUUUUGAAUACUAUUUGCCAUAGGGGCCUUCCCUUUCUCCUUGAUGGAGAUGGGAGCCUUAUGACAUGUCAAGUUCUUGGCUUCCCUCUUGAAGCCAAGCCCAUCCUUAAUUGAGGGGUGUCUACCAAUCAUGUAGGCAUCCCUUGUAAACUUUAGUUUGUCAAAUUCAUUCUUGCUAGUCUUAAGUUGGGCAUUAAGACUAGCCACUUCAUCAUUCAAUUUAGAAAUUGAAACUAGGUGUUCACUACAAGCAUCAACAUUAAAAUCUUUACACCUAUUGCAAAUUACAACAUUUUCUACACAAGAUGUUGAUUUACUAGCUAUUUCUAACUUAGCAUUCAAAUCAUCAUUUAUGCUUUUUAAGCUAGAAAUAGAGUCAUGGCAUGUAGACAAUUCACAAGAAAGCAUUUCAUUCCUUUUAAUUUCUAAAGCAAGGGAUUUUUGUGCCUCUACAAACUUAUCAUGUUCUUCAUACAAAAGAUCCUCUUGCCUUUCUAAUAACCUAUUCUUAUCAUUCAAGGCAUCAAUUAAUUCAUUAAUUUUAUCAACCUUGGUUCUAUCUAGGCCCUUGAAUAAACAUGAAUAAUCUAUUUCAUCAUCAUCACUAGACUCAUCCUCACUUGAAGAAGCAUAAGUAGUGUUGUUUUGAGUACAUACCUUCUUCUCCUUUGCCAUGAGGCAUGUGUGAUGCUCGUUGGGGAAGAGGGAUGACUUGUUGAAGGCGGUGGCGGCGAGUCCUUCAUUGUCGGAGUCGGACGAGGAGCAAUCCGAAUCCCACUCCUUUCCAAGAUGUGCCUCGCCCUUUGCCUUUUUAUAGUUUUUCUUCUUUUCCCACUUUCCACUCUUCUUUUCCUGGUCACUAUCAUUAUCGGGACAAUUAGCGAUAAAAUAACCAAUCUUACCACAUUUGAAGCAUGAUCGCUUCCCCUUCGUCUUGGUCUUGUUGGGAUGCUCCUUGCGACCCUUUAGCGUCGUCUUGAAACGCUUGAUGAUGAGGGCCAUUUCUUCAUCAUUAAGCCCGGCCGCCUCCACUUGCGCCACCUUGCUAGGUAGCGCCUCCUUGCUCCUCGUUGCUUUGAGAGCAAUGGUUUGAGGCUCUUGGAUUGGGCCAUUCAACGCAUCAUCAACGUAUCUAGCCUCCUUGAUCAUCAUCCGCCCGCUUACGAACUUUCCAAGUAUCUCCUCGGGCGACAUCUUGGUGUACCUAGGAUUCUCACGAAUAUUGUUCACAAGACGUGGAUCAAGGACAGUAAAGGACCUUAGCAUUAGGCGGACGACGUCGUGGUCCGUCCAUCGCGUGCUUCCAUAGCUCCUUAUUUUAUUGACGAGGGUCUUGAGCCGGUUGUACGUUUGGGUUGGCUCCUCGCCCCUGAUCAUCGCGAAUCUCCCAAGUUCGCCUUCCACCAACUCCAUUUUGGUGAGCAUGGUGACGUCAUUCCCCUCAUGUGAGAUCUUGAGGGUGUCCCAGAUCUGCUUGGCGUUAUCCAAGCCGCUCACCUUAUGGUAUUCGUCCCUGCACAAUGAAGCUAGAAGAACAAUAGUAGCUUGUGCAUUUUUGUGAAUUUGCUCAUUAAUGAACAUGGGACUAUCAGUACUAUCAAAUUUCAUUCCACUCUCUACUAUCUCCCAUAUGCUUGGAUGGAGAGAGAACAAGUGACUACACAUUUUGUGACUCCAAAAUCCGUAGUCCUCUCCAUCAAAGUGAGGAGGUUUACCAAGUGGAAUGGAGAGUAAAUGAGCAUUGGUACUUUGCGGAAUACGAGAGUAAUCGAAAGAGAAGUUUGAAUUGACCGUCUUCUUUUUCUCGUCAUCAUUGUCAUCGUCCUUUUGGGAAGAAGAGGACUCGUCGCUGUCGUCGUAGUAGACGAUCUCCUUGAUGCGCCUCGUCUUCUUCUUCUUCCCAUCUUUUCGUUUGUGGCCCGAGCCCGAGUCGGUAGGCUUGUCAUCUUUCGGCUCGUUGACGAAGGACUCCUUCUCCUUAUCAUUGAUCACAAUCCCCUUGCCCUUAGGAUCCAUCUCUUCGGGCGAUUAGUCCCUUCGUGAAGAGAACGACUUUGAUACCAAUUGAGAGCACCUAGAGGGGGGGUGAAUAGGUGAUCCUGUAAAACUUGAAACUUAAUGCCACAAAACUUGAUUAGGAGUUAGCACAAUAAUGCCAAGUGGCUAUAGAGGAGUCUUAGCAAAACACAAUAACCACAAAGAGAUCAACACAGAGAUGGCACAGUGGUUUAUCCCAUGGUUCGGCCAAGUCCAAUACUUGCCUACUCCACGUUGUAGCGUCCCAACGGACGAGGGUCGCAAUCAACCCCUCUCAAGCGGUCCAAAGACCCACUUGAAUACCAUGGUGUUUUGUUUUGUUUACUAUAUCCCACUCGCGAGGAAUCUCCACAACUUGGAGCCUCUCGCCCUUACACUUUGAUGUUCACAAAGAAGCACGGAGUAAGGGAGGGAUGAGCAACGCACACAAGACACAAAAUCACAGCAAAUACGCACACACAAGACCCAGACUUGAGCUCAAAAGAAUAUCACGAGGUUCUCACUAGAACGGAGCUCAAAUCACUAAGAAUGUCGAACAAGUGCGCAAGAAUGAAGUGUGAGUGAUCAACAAUGCUCAAAGGAUGCUUGGUGUUCUCCUCCAUGCGCCUAGGGGUCCCUUUUAUAGCCCUAAGGCAGCUAGGAGCCGUUGAGAGCAUUCCAGGAAGGCAAUUCUUGCCUUCUGUCGCCUGGCGCACUGGACAGUCCGGUGCACCACCGGACACUGUCCGGUGCGGAUCUCUUUCCUUAUUUGGCGAAGCCGACCGUUGCAGAUUCAGAGCCAUUGGCGCACCGGACACUGUCCGGUGCACACCGGACAGUCCGGUGCCCCCUUGUGACCGUUGGCUCUGCCACGUGUCACGCGCGGAAUCCUCGGCCGACCGUUGGCCUGGCUGACCGUUGGCUCACCGGACAGUCCGGUGCACCACCGGACAGUCCGGUGAUUUUUAGCCGUACACCGUUAAUCACUUCCCGAGAGCGACGACUUCGCCUGUGAACGGCUGUAGGAUCUAGGACACCGGCUAGAGGGGGGGUGAAUAGACGGUUUUGACUAAAAACAACAAUACUAAGUAAAUUUAAUCAAUACAACAAGAGGAAUAAAUUUACUAGUGUCAAUAAGUAAACAAUGUAUGAAAGACAACUACGGAGAUUGAAUACUUGAAGAACAAUAAGCAAAACACUAAUCAAUUGCAAGGCAAUAAAUAAUGCUAGAAGGAAUAGACACCGAAAUUUAUCCCGUGGUAUCGGUGAUUUGCCGAUCACCCCUAAUCCACGUUGAGGUGGACUUCAAGCUCUCACUUGCUCCUCUAUCAAGACACGACUUGAUCUUUGAGCCAAGUGGACAAGAAAUCACUCAAUACCUCGAUUCCACUAAUGUCACCUUUGCCGCUCCGGCGAGGUAGGCGCGAACCCCUCACAAUCAACACCGCGGCUUCUCCACAAUCUUCUUGGAGAGCUCGACGGAGAUAAUCACCCGAGCCGUCUAGGAGGCGGCAACCUCCAAGAGUAACAAGCCAACGACGCUUGCUCGGUGUACCACCUAGUGCCUCAAGAAUCACCAAAUGAUGCAAAUGCACUAGGAACCCUCAAUCUCUCACUAGAAUGCAAUCUCAAGCAAAGAGUGUGAGAGAGUGAGUUGGAGGAUCACAAAUGAGCUCAAUGUGUGCAAGGAAUGGCCAAGAGAGGUCUCACACACGAGCUACCCUUCUAUUUAUAGUCCCCCAUCUAAAACCAACCGUUAUGUGCAAAAGGGGGCAGUUCUGCGCACACGCGGACCGUCCGCGCCCUAGGGCCGGACGGUCCGCCGUACACCAAAACGGCUAUAAUGACCGUUGAAACAUGUCAGAGCAGACUCAAAAGGUGGGUCCGGACAGUCCGCCCUUCAAGGCUGGACCGUCCGCGACCUGGCAAUUUCAAACACCCGAGCCUCGGAUCAAACGAAGUUAACACACGCGGACCGUCCGGCUAUAAAUCCCGGACCGUCCGCGACCUGAGACAGUACUGUCCGGACUGGUCCCCCGGACCGUCCGUAGUACAAACCAAUAAAAACACACAGUCCCUGUCCAAAAACGAGUUAUACACAUGCGGACCGUCCGCGCCUCACAGGCGGACCGUCCGCCUAUAAUUCAGGGACUGACCCGAAGCCACCUUCCUCUGGUCAGGACUGCGGACGGUCCGGCCCUAAGGCCCGGACGGUCCGCAGUGCAAUAGAACACCGAGUCAAUACAAAUGGUCAAACCCCGGACCUGCUGGAGGAUCGCGGACGGUCCGCCCCCAAGGGCCGGACAGUCCGCGCGACCAAGACUUCUCAAAUUUCAAACAUGCUUUUGAAUGAACUUUUAACUCACGGAAUGAGAAGCGCUGUUAGCCCUUAUGCAAAUGCAACAACUUGAUGCUCUAUGAGGCACUAAGUUUUACACAGAUCUAAGUCAUUGACCCCUCUUAAUAGUACGGCUAUCUAGCCUACUAAUCCGGUCAGGUAUCUUCUCUAAACACCUCAAGACCGGCAAAAGUAAAACCUAUAUUAUACCUUUGCCUUCAUCUGAUCCACAACCAAUGCGUAUGACUCUUCAACAUUUCCUGUUCUAUGUGGUCCAACCCUGCAUUCUUAUUUCUCCAAGAAUCGUUAGUCCACAAGUAGUUGUCAUUAAUUACCAAAACAUUACCAAAGGGGCCUAGAUGAUUCACAAUCUCCCCCUUUUUGGUAAUUGAUGACAACACCACAUAGUAUAUUAAAGAGAAGUUUAGUUUCUCCAAAUCUCUCUCAUACCUAAGGUAUAAGAUAGAUCUUGGAGAUGAGUUUCAUAGGACUUAUCUUGAUUUGAAGUUCUGUCCAAGAGAUAGAUAAAUCCCAAUAAAAACUCAGUAUGCAAGAAAGGCUCCCCCUAAGUGUGUGCAGGAUUAUUUGAAGUUGAAGAUAUAACACACAUAAUAUAUUGGAGCUUGAUGGAGACUUUCCUACAAUCAUGGUUAUCGAGGCAUACAAGAGAUGAUCCGUAGAGUGAGCGCAGCAAUUAUAAUCACAUCUCGAUUAACCACACACAGAGUAAUUUGAACUAAAACAUAGUUCAUCCCACAGAAUAUUACAGAUAAUAGUCCACAGACAUACGACAUAGAGUUAAUGGAUCAAACCAAGUUCCGAAUGCAUAAGACAUAAACUAAAGCGGCAUGAAAAGGUAAAAUGCAUAUGCAUGGUCUUGAUGUCCACAUAGAACCACCAACUCCCCCUGAAGGAGACGCCUGACAACUUCUCAUCACUUCUCUCCCCCUUUGGCAUCAAUUGCCACAAAGGAGAGACCCUACUGAUCACUCGGCGGAGGAUGCAUGUUGUAAUAAUGAGUGCUGAAGGUGUCAAACAGGGAGGAGAACUGGCCAAAGUCCUGCUGGAGCUGCUGCUGCCUCUGACUUAUAUCAUGCAUGUUGUCAGUUGUAGAAAGAUUAUCAAACUAACUGGAGAGAGCACCCAUGUUAUCUUGAAAGCUUUGUUGCAUAUUAUUCAGCCUUGACAUGAUGGGAUCAGUGACAUUAGUGUGAAUUUGAUCACGAAAGUCAGAAAAUUCAUAGUUAAGUGCAUCCCAGUUACUGUCAAAGCGAGACUGCAUGUCAUCAAGGCGGUGAUCCACAUGUGACAUCAGGCCAUCAAAGCGAGCAUCAAUAUGAGUCUCCAGCCCUUGCUGCAUAUUGUGAAAAUAAGGAUCAAAAUAUCCUGGAGCAGGCUCCCAAUAGUGCUGAGGCUGAGGAGGAGGUGGAGGAGGAGGCAUCUGCUGUUCCUCAACAUUAGGAGCUGCUCCACCCUCAUAGCCAGGGUCUUCCUCAUCAUCUGGGAAUGGAGUGAGUGGCCUGGUGAGAAAUCCUAUCUCAUUCUUAAAAGGCCUGAAUGGAGUGUGAACAAUCUCACAUGGGCCCUCAAAUCUUGUCUUGGAUUUAAUGAGAGCCAUAAUGUAGGGAGCAUAUGCCAAGUUUUGAUUCUUGUCCAUCUUUAAAUCAUUAAGCUGCCUCAUCAUGAAAAGAACAAUGUUCAUGACUUCACCAUUCAUGAUGUGCUGGAUUAUGUUCCAGAACUUAUCUCGAAUUUUACUCUUAUCACCACUCUUGGGAAGAAUGGUGACUCUGGCAAUCUUGUUGAUGACAGCAGGAUGAUGUCUGAGUCCUGCUGUUUCUCCAAACCUCCUGGGUAUACCUAGCCUGGCUGGCUCAUAAAACUGCACAAAAUCCUCAAAAUUAUCUUCAGUAUAAAGAUCCACCCCAGCAGAAAUGGUGCCAUAGUCCAGACUGUUGGCAGCGGCAAAGUCAGCAAAAGAAGCAGAAUACCGCUUGAAGCCAGUCAUCCAGGUGAUAGAUUCUGCUGCAAUAUCAAUCUCUGAGGUAGCCAAGAAUUGCUUAACUGCCAUUUCAUUGAAAUCGGUGCGCUGCCCCAUAAACUGAUAUAACCCACAUGUUUCAAAUUUGGGGAUGAGACCCUCCAUGACUGAUUGACUGAGCAAGAAGGACCAAUCAAUCACCUGAUGCUUAUGAAAAUUGGUAUCCAUCAGGGUGCCCCAAAAGACAUCAAACUGCAGCUGAGUGUGGAAAAACUGGAUAUUUGUAUCUGAUGGCAGAGCAUACUGGUUCACAGUCCGUCUAGAGCAGUACUCAGCCAUAGAAAAUCUCCGCUUGGGAUAAGUCCAUCCUUGGAUAUCAAUGGGAUAGUCUGGAUGAACAUGAAGAAAAUCUUCAGCAUCCAUGGAUUCAGUGCCCCCAGCUGAGGAUUGGGCCUCUGAAUCAGUGGUCGGUGUAUAGUCAUCAUCAUUGCCACGAGGGCGCUUGGAUUUAAAGCGACCUGCAAGUUUCUUGCGGAGACCACCAAAACCACUGCAACAAGGUGACAGACAUCCAUAGAUAAAUAAUUGAUACCAAUCACCACUUAUAAAAAGGAAUGGAAUGGUAAUGCUCUGCCAGGGUCCGGACUGUCCGCGCUAGGGGGCCGGACUGUCCGUUUCCUGAUGGUGCGGACGGUCCGCGGUCCAUGGGCGGACGGUCCGCGGCCUGAUACUCAUUUAGCCAAUUGCUGUCCACUUGCUGAUUUUGAAUUUCGAAUCCGAAUUGGUGCUCAUAUAUGGACAUUUUGACCAAUCCAAGAGUUGGUAUGCAUGCAUAUACAAAUGAUGUAAUUGAGUAAUGCAAGAUUUUUGAAUUAAACUAUCUAGAGCAAUUAGAAAUGAAAAAUGCACAAAUAAUACCAAAUAAAUAGCAUAAAGAGCAUACUUAGACCCGAGAUGCAAGACGACACAUGUGUGAUCAACUUCAAGUCACAUUUGAGAUAUCGAUCACAUUCAUUUCACUUCUUAGAGAACAAAAUCUUGUUUCAUCCAAAGGUUUUGUAAAAAUGUCUGCUAAUUGAUCAUCGGUGCCAAUGGAAUAAAUAGAGAUAUCGCCCUUGCCAACAUGAUCUCUUAAGAAAUGAUGCCGUAUAUCAAUAUGCUUGGUUCUUGAGUGUUGGACCGGAUUGGUAGCCAAUUUUACCGCACUCUCAUUAUCACACAUGAGAGGCACAUUCUUGAAAAUAAUUCCAUAGUCCAAUAAGGUUUGUUUCAUCCAUAAUAGUUGAGCACAACAAUUUCCGGCCGAUAUAUAUUCCGCCUCGGCGGUAGAUAGAGCAACCGAAUUUUGUUUCUUAGAAGACCAUGAAACAAGAGAUCUACCAAGAAAUUGACAACAACCGGAGGUGCUUUUUCUAUCAACUUUGCACCCCGCAUAGUCCGAAUCCGAAUAUCCAAUUAAUUCAAAUUGUGCACCCUUGGGAUACCAUAGACCAAUAUUGGGAGUAUACUUCAAAUAUCUUAGAAUUCUUUUAGCGGCCUUCAAGUGAAUCUCUCUAGGAGAAGCUUGAAAUCGAGCACACAUGCAUACACUAAACAUAACAUCGGGCCUAGAUGCGGUAAUAUAAAGCAAACUACCAAUUAUUGAACGAUAAAGUUUUUGAUCAACUAUAGUACCUCCUUCAUCUAAGUCUAGAUGACCAUUUGUUGCCAUUGGAGUCUUGAUAGGCUUAGCAUUUUCUAAACCAAACUUCUUGAGCAUGUCCUUCAAAUAUUUUGAUUGACUUAUAAAAAUUCCAUCUUUCAAUUGUUUGAUUUGAAGGCCAAGAAAGAAGCUCAAUUCUCCUAUCAUAGACAUUUCAAAUUCCUUUGACAUCAUUUUUCCGAACUCCUCACAAAAUAAUUCAUUAGUAGAUCCAAAAAUAAUAUCAUCAACGUAGAUUUGACAAACAAAUAAAUCUUUGCCAAUUCUUUUAGUGAAUAGAGUAGUGUCAACCUUCCCAAUUUUGAAGUCUUUGGAAAGCAAGAAAUCCCUAAGCCUUUCAUACCAAGCGCGUGGAGCUUGCUUAAGCCCAUAGAGAGCUUUAGAAAGCUUGAACACAUGGUUAGGUCUUUUGGGGUCCUCAAAACCGGGAGGUUGUUCAACAUACACUAGUUCACUAAUCUUACCAUUUAGAAAGGCACUCUUUACAUCCAUUUGGUAGAGCUUGAUAUUGUGUGCACAAGCAUAAGCAAGUAGAAUCCGGAUUGCUUCUAAUCUUGCUACGGGAGCAAAUGUCUCCCCAAAAUCCAAUCCUUCAAUUUGAGUAUAUCCUUGUGCAACUAAUCUUGCCUUGUUUCUUACUACUACACCAUCUUCAUUGUGCUUGUUGCGAAACACCCAUUUUGUACCAAUAACAUUGUGGUUCUUUGGUCUCUCAACAAGCUCCCAAACUUCAUUUCGAGCGAAGUUAUUUAAUUCUUCAUGCAUUGCAUUCACCCAAUCAACAUCAAGUAGAGCUUCAUCUACACGGUUAGGUUCCAUACAAGAUACAAAAGAGAAAUGUUCACAAAAUGAAGCUAUGCGAGAGCGAGUUUGAACACCCUUACUAAUAUCACCCACAAUUUGAUCAACCGGGUGAUCCUUCACAAUGGAAUGAUGAAUUCUUGAUACCGUUUGAUAGUUGCUUGUUGAAGCAUUAGGAGGAACCGUAGGUCUUGAAGUACCUUGAUCAUGAGUAUCCAUGGUUUCAUCGAGUUGUUGGCUUUGGUGAUCUUCCUCAUUUAUAGUUGAGGAUGAAGGAAUGACAACCACACUAUCUUCAUCAUCAUCUUCCUUUGGUUUUAUUUCACCAAUGGCCAUUGUUUUCAUUGCAUUUAUCAAUUGAGUUCCCCCAACAUCAUCGAGAUUAUCACUCUCAUCUUGAGACCCAUUUGUUUCAUCGAAUUCAACAUCAUAUGCUUCCUCAAUAAUACCAUGAGUUUUGUUGAAGACUCUAUAAGCCUUACUAUUUGAUGAAUAUCCAAGAAGAAAACCCUCAUCACAUUUCUUCUCAAAUUUAGAAAGCCGGCUUCCCUUUCUCAAAAUAUAACAUUUGCAACCGAAUACCCUAAAAUAUGAGAUAUUUGGCUUUCUACCAAUGAGCAAUUCAUAUGGAGUUUUCUUCAAGAGCUUGUGACAAUAUAGUCUAUUUGAUGAAUGACAAGCGGUAUUUAUUGCCUCGGCCCAAUAAGAAUCCGAUAUAUUAUAUUCCGCUAACAUAGACCUUGCCAUAUCAAUAAGAGUUCUAUUCUUUCUUUCAACAAUACCGUUUUGUUCCGGGGUAUAUUUGGAAGAGAAUUCAUGUUUGAUACCUUUGUCAUCACAAUAUUGAUCAAUUCUUGCAUUUUUGAAUUCCGACCCAUUAUCACUUCUAACCUUUUUGAUGUCAAAGUCAAAUUGAUUUUGCGCCAAUAUAGCAAAUGACUUGAAUGUUUCAAACACAUUGGAUUUGUCUCGUAGAAAAUAAACCCAAGUAAAUCUUGAAUAGUCAUCCACAAUCACAAGACAAUAAGAAUUACCACCAAUACUUACAAAAGAUGUGGGCCCAAAUAAAUCCAUGUGAAGUAAUUCCAAAGGUCGAUGAGUGGACAUUUGACUUUUGUUUGGAUGAGUGUUUGCCACUUGCUUACCGGCUUGACAAGAGCUACACAAUUUGUUCUUUUCAAACUUCACAUCUUUUAAGCCUUGAACUAAGUCAUGCUUGGUUAGCCGAUUGAGUUGCUUCAUCCCAACAUGACCAAGUCUUCUAUGCCAUAACCAACCUAGUGAAGCUUUUGAAAAUAAGCAAGUUGUGAGCUUUGCCUCAUUAGAUGAGAAAUCAACAAGAUAGAGAUUUUCAUGUCUAAAACCUUUAAACUUAAGAUUGCUACCAUCAACACUAGAGAUAAUAACAUCUUCAACCGUGAAAUUGCAACAAAAUCCUAAAUCACAUAAUUGAGCUACGGAAAGUAAAUUAAAAUUCAAAGACUCAACCAAUAGCACAUUUGAUAUAGAAUGAUCAUUUGAGAUAGCAAUUUUACCCAAACCUUUAACCUUUCCUUUACGAUUAUCUCCAAAUGUGAUACUAUCAUAAUUUGAGCAAUCUUCCUCACUCAUUUGGGUAAACAUUUUCAUAUCCCCGGUCAUGUGUUGAGUACAUCCACUAUCCAACACCCAAUGAUUCCCUCCCGCCUUGUAGUUUACCUACAAAAGGAAAUCAAUCUCUUUUAGGUACCCAAACUUGCUUGGGUCCUUGGGUGUUAGUAACCAAGGUCUUCGGUACCCAAAUAGCUUUCUUUUUGUUUCCAACAAUUGAAGUACCAACAAAUUUAGCAUGAACACCUUUUGCAUUAUGAGAAAGAACAUAACAAUGCUCAAAACAAGUGGAGGAUACAUUUUUGAACUUGGGACAAUUUUUCUUAAUAUGUCCCUUUUUGUGACACUUGUGACACACUUUGUCACAUUCUUUCACAAACAAUGUCUUUUGCUUUAUAAAAGCAUUCUUUCCUUUCUUGGGAACAUAUCCAAGACCUUCACGGUUAAGAGAGCAUCGUUGACUUCCCAAUAUGAAAUCCAAUUUAGUCUUACCACCAUAUGCUUUUUCUAGGUCAUGAGUUAGAGUAUUUAUUCUAUCUACUAAAACUUCAUUCUCAACAAUAAUUUUUGAUUCAUCAAGAGCAAUGUUAUCAUUGAGAGAAAUUUUGCAUUUAUCACAAAUAGAGUUAGUAGGUAGUGGUUCACUUGUAAGACUAUCAAGUAAGUCACAAGUGACUCCAACAUCCUUAGUGACCACCUCAACUUCAUGCACAAUAGAUGAUUUUUGAGCAUCCGCAAGCUUCUCACAAUUUUCUUUGAGAUCAUUGUGAGAGGUCUUGAGCUCCUCAAAAGACACUUGGAGGUUUUUAUACAAUUCCUUCAAGGCCUUAAAUUUUUCUUUUUCUUUGUGCAUGUAGUCAUCGGCCUCACCUAACAUUCUAACAAGAUCAUCAUAUGAAUAGCCAUCAUCAUCAACAUCAUCGAUAUCAUCAUCAUCAUUUAUAUCAUUUAAAUCGGUGAUGAUUUUUACCUUAGCAUCUCCCUUUGCCAUGAGGCAAUGGGGGGAUGAGAAGAGUGAGGGAGCUUCCUUGAUGGCAAUUCCGGCAUUAAGCUUGGAUGAGGUGUCAUCAUCAUCAUCAUCCGAGCUAUCAUCCGAGUCCCAUUCAACUAAGUAGGCUUUGCCAUCUUUCUUCUUGUUAUAGUAUUUCUUUUUCUUCUUGUCACUUUCAUCUUUGCCCUUCUUCUUCUUGCUUGGACAAUUCAUGGCAAUGUGACCGGGUUCCCCACACUCAAAACAUUUUCUAUCAUUGAAAGCAUUUCUUCUAGAUGUUUGACCUCUUCUAGGUUGACCUCUUUUCAUCUUCAUGAAUUUAUUGAAUUUCCUUACAAAUAGAGCCAUGUCACCAUCACUCUCACUUUCAUUUUCUUCAUCAUUGCUAUCUUCCUUUUCAAUUGCCUUUGAGGCCUUGGCUUUGAGAGCAAUAGAUUCAUUUUUCACCUUCUUUGCCAAACUUAAAGCAUCAGCUUGUGACUUCUUAAAUAUAUCUUGAGUGAGAAUUUCUCCCAAUACUUCAGUUGGAGAGGUUGUAGAUAGAUCACUCCUUACUAGCAUUGUCACAAUAGUCUCAUAUUUCUCCGGAAGUGAUAUAAGGAACUUGUGUGUGAAAUCCACAUCCGGUACAUUAAAACCAAGUCCUUUGAGUUCAUUUACUAUCUCAUUCAACCGAUUGAACAUAUCGGAUACACUCUCAUCUUCUUUCAUAAUAAAUUGCUCAAACUUCCCUUUGCACACAUAUAGUUUGGCACUCUUCACAAUUGUAGUUCCUUCAUGAAUUUCCAUUAGUUUUACCCAAAUCUCAUGAGCGGUUGUGAGAUUCUUGAUACGAUUGAACUCAUUUAUAUCAAGAGCAUCAUAAAAGACAUUCAUGGCUUGAUCAUUUGUGAGGAUAUUCUCAUUAUCACUAACGGAUGGUUCAUCUUCCUUCAAUACAACAAAUCCAUCUCUAACAAUUGGCCAAAUUUUUCCACCCAUUGCUCUAAGAUGCAUUGACAUCCUUAUUUUCCAAUAAUCAUAAUUGUUCCCAUCAAAGUGCGGUGGCUUCCCAAUGUGCACAUUGUUGUUGCUAGCCAUUUUGUCCCACUCCGGGAUGAUUAGAUCCACAAACAAUGGAGUCCUCGGCUCUGAUACCACUUGUAGGAUCUAGGACACCGGCUAGAGGGGGGUGAAUAGACGGUUUUGACUAAAAACAACAAUACUAAGUAAAUUUAAUCAAUACAACAAGAGGAAUAAAUUUACUAGUGUCAAUAAGUAAACAAUGUAUGAAAGACAACUACGGAGAUUGAAUACUUGAAGAACAAUAAGCAAAACACUAAUCAAUUGCAAGGCAAUAAAUAAUGCUAGAAGGAAUAGACACCGAAAUUUAUCCCGUGGUAUCGGUGAUUUGCCGAUCACCCCUAAUCCACGUUGAGGUGGACUUCAAGCUCUCACUUGCUCCUCUAUCAAGACACGACUUGAUCUUUGAGCCAAGUGGACAAGAAAUCACUCAAUACCUCGAUUCCACUAAUGUCACCUUUGCCGCUCCGGCGAGGUAGGCGCGAACCCCUCACAAUCAACACCGCGGCUUCUCCACAAUCUUCUUGGAGAGCUCGACGGAGAUAAUCACCCGAGCCGUCUAGGAGACGGCAACCUCCAAGAGUAACAAGCCAACGACGCUUGCUCGGUGUACCACCUAGUGCCUCAAGAAUCACCAAAUGAUGCAAAUGCACUAGGAACCCUCAAUCUCUCACUAGAAUGCAAUCUCAAGCAAAGAGUGUGAGAGAGUGAGUUGGAGGAUCACAAAUGAGCUCAAUGUGUGCAAGGAAUGGCCAAGAGAGGUCUCACACACGAGCUACCCUUCUAUUUAUAGUCCCCCAUCUAAAACCAACCGUUAUGUGCAAAAGGGGGCAGUUCUGCGCACACGCGGACCGUCCGUGCCCUAGGGCCGGACGGUCCGCCGUACACCAAAACGGCUAUAAUGACCGUUGAAACAUGUCAGAGCAGACUCAAAAGGUGGGUCCGGACAGUCCGCCCUUCAAGGCCGGACCGUCCGCGACCUGGCAAUUUCAAACACCCGAGCCUCGGAUCAAACGGAGUUAACACACGCGGACCGUCCGGCUAUAAAUCCCGGACCGUCCGCGACCUGAGACAGUACUGUCUGGACUGGUCCCCCGGACCGUCCGUAGUACAAACCAAUAAAAACACACAGUCCCUGUCCAAAAACGAGUUAUACACAUGCGGACCGUCCGCGCCUCACAGGCGGACCGUCCGCCUAUAAUUCAGGGACUGACCCGAAGCCACCUUCCUCUGGUCAGGACUGCGGACGGUCCGGCCCUAAGGCCCGGACGGUCCGCAGUGCAAUAGAACACCGAGUCAUUACAAAUGGUCAAACCCCGGACCUGCUGGAGGAUCGCGGACGGUCCGCCCCCAAGGGCCGGACAGUCCGCGCGACCAAGACUUCUCAAAUUUCAAACAUGCUUUUGAAUGAACUUUUAACUCACGGAAUGAGAAGCGCUGUUAGCCCUUAUGCAAAUGCAACAACUUGAUGCUCUAUGAGGCACUAAGUUUUACACAGAUCUAAGUCAUUGACCCCUCUUAAUAGUACGGCUAUCUAGCCUACUAAUCCGGUCAGGUAUCUUCUCUAAACACCUCAAGACCGGCAAAAGUAAAACCUAUAUUAUACCUUUGCCUUCAUCUGAUCCACAACCAAUGCGUAUGACUCUUCAACAUUUCCUGUUCUAUGUGGUCCAACCCUGCAUUCUUAUUUCUCCAAGAAUCGUUAGUCCACAAGUAGUUGUCAUUAAUUACCAAAACAUUACCAAAGGGGCCUAGAUGAUUCACAACGGCUCACCGGACAGUCCGGUGAUUUAUAGCCGUACGUCGUUGAUCGUCUCCCGAGAGCAGCCAGUCGACAGUCGCCAGCCUGGCGCACCGGACAGUCCGGUGCUCCUAGAUUGAACUGUCUUUGGCUGAAGAAAGCUAUCUCUUUUCCGAAGUGAUUUUUCCUGUUUCCAGCACUUAGACACAAUACAUUAGCUCUUAAAACAAUGUACUAAGUUUAGAAACAUACCUUUAAUCUUGAUUUGCACUUUGUCCAUCAAUUUGCAUAGAUUUACACUUAAGCACUUGUAUUGGCACUCAAUCACCAAAAUACUUAGAAAUAGCCCAAGGGCACAUUUCCCUUUCACAAAGGCAUUGUGCAUACUUUACAAAAAAUAUGUGUUUGGUCUUAUAAAAAAUGCUACGAUGGUUGAUUGCAAACCACUUAGUACCCCACUAUCAACAAGUGAGAAGAUUGCUAUUCAUGAAGUGGAACUAUUAGGGCCAAAUGCUAUAACAAGUUAUAGGAGUGUGGUACAAGCUUUGUAAUACCUCACGUUGCUAAGGCUUAAUAUAGCCUUCUCGGUCAACAACGACAUUCAAUUUGUACAUGCUUCUAUUGCUAUUUAUUAGGUUGUAAUCAACAGGAUUCUAUGGUAUCUCAAAUCAAGUUCAGAAGUCAGGUUGAAGCUAGACAAGUCGUCCACUUUGAUAGUAAGUGAGUGUUUAUAUGUAGAUUGGGUAGAUUACGUAGAUGGUAGAAGAUCUGUAGGUGUUGUUGUAUUUUAGGCACUAUUCUCAUAUCUAGGAGUGCAAGAAAAUAGACCAUUUUUAUUGAUGUCAAAUACUAAAUUCGAGUGUCAAGCUUUGUCAAAUACUACAAUAGAGAUAACAUGGAUUCAGAUCCUAUUGAAGGAGUUAAAAAUUGGAAGUCCAAAGACAUCACAUGUGUUGUGUAACAAUAUGAGAGCAAGAUAUAUGUCUUCUAAUCCUAUGUUUCAUGCCAGAGUUAAAUAUAUAGAUGUUGAUUAUCAUUUUUGAGACAAAGAGUUACAAAGAAGCUUCUUGAGAUUGAUUUUGUACCAACUGGAGAUAGGUUGCAGAUGUCUUUGCCAAAAACUCUUUCGGUGCAUCAACUAUAAAAUUUAGUCUUAACUUGGAAAGUUAUGAUUGAGGGAGCUCUUAAAAGAUGUGUCUUGUCCAAUUCCUUUAUUGUAUGUCGAGUUUAGUAAUUACUCUAUCAUGUAAAUAGUUCAACCCUACGUAUAAAUACCACAUAAAGACAUUGACCAUAUGGAGGACGGAUGCUUUUAUGUGACUAUAGUUUUUGCCGCUAAUUUUUGACACAAAAUGCGUGGUGAAUGUUAGAACCCUAGCAGGAGCACCGAGGUGAGGGAAGUUUAAAGUCUAGGGCACACAUGUACACUAGAGUAGGGAAUCAUGUUGAGAGGGUGGUAGAAUGAGGUUAGCACUGGCUCCCUCUCCAUGAGGAUAGAAGAGGGGACGAUAGAGCAAUAGUAGGGUUGGUGGCAUCGCGAAGCUCAAAGGGCUACCGACAGGACAUCGACAUCAGGACGAGGACGGUGGGAGGUCUGUAGUGCCAUGAUGUUAUGGCUUUGUCAAUUGUCGUCUUGCACUCAAGGUUGCGGUGGCCGAAGCCGUGACAAAUGCUAUAAUUAACAGGAUCACAAUAGUCACACACUUGGUAGUCAAAGAUCCGCAUCAGUUCCUUCUAUAUCAUCUCCCUAACUCCCACUUUUUCACCACCCUUAAAUCUGUGGCUAUUGCAGCGUUGGUGUUUGAUUCCUCUAACUUAAGUUUAGUUUGUGUAACAUCAAAUGUUUCAAUAUCAAUUAUGAGUAUUAAAUAUAGAGUUAAUUAGGUUUAGUAAAUUUGUCUCGUCUUUUAAUCUUAAUCCAUGUGAUUAAUUAUAUAAUUAAUACCUGUAAUUAUCAUUCAAACAUUCGAUGUGAUAGAAACUAAACUUUUGUUGGCUAAAACCAAACACCCUAGGCCUAUCCCCUGGACAAAUACACUAUAUUUUAAUUAGAUUUUUAUAUAUGUAUUUGUAUAGAUUAAAAUAGUAUGUACAUAUUAAAUAUGUGUUUAGUUCAUAGUUUAGAAUAUAAAAAUUAGAGGAAAGAGUGAAAACACCCUAAAUUUGGAUAUAGAAGGAUAAGCCCCUAAAUUUAUAGGGUGUUAUUUAGGGACAACGGAUGUGGGUUUAAGGCCCUGUUUGGGAACAAAGUUUUUGAAAACCACAGUUUUUGAAAUACUACAAUAUACUUUAGUCAUGACAAUACCGCAGUUUAUAAUACCGCAGUUUUGAAAACUGAGGUCCAGAGCUAAGUUUAGAAUGCCUUAAAACAACUAUAGUAUUUGCAAUACUUCAGUUUUGAAAACAGAGAUUUUAGCCAGCUUGCCAAACACCAUUCUGUAUAUAAUACUGCAGUAUUUGAGAAUACUGCAGUAUUCUUCCAAAACUGUGAAAAAACUUUACUCCCAAACACCCCUAAGGUGUCCCUAAAGCUGAUGAUGCCCGUGCUGCCGUGCAGACAAUCUAAGGUAAGACAUCAAAAUUUUGUUUGGUUGCAAUUACAGAACUGAAUGAGAUGAGAUGAUUUGUCAAAUAAAAUUGUUUGGUUCAGAGUUAAGACCAGAAUGGACCAUCUCUAAAAAAAAAAUAUUUCUAUUUAAUAUCACCCCGGGUCUCUCAAGAUUGGGGGACGAGUGCAUCGUCUGUGGCGCUCUCUCUCGCGGUUAAAUUCAUCGUCAUCCAUCGGCUAGGCAAAGAUUUUAAAUUUUUAUCCGAACAAAAUAGCGGAUCAAAUCAUCAAAGUAUAUAAACCGCAGGAACAAGGGUUUUUUCUUUCUUUCUUUCUUUCGAGCAUCGUUUUCAUCCACACAUCCUGCGUCUGAAGCAAAGGUACACAGAACGAAACGAAACUCAUAUCUGCGGCGCCCUUCAUACUUGCAUGUAUCGCUUCUUUUACCGAGCAUGCGUACAGUAUAUCCUGUAUCCUCAAUCAUCCGGACAUGGCAUACAUCCACAACCUCUUCCGAGUUGCAAGACGACAGCAGCUCGCCGCCGAAUCAGCUGCUGCUGCUCUCCGACCACGCAUCACCGCCCCACUGCCACUGGCCAGCAGGAGGAGCCGCUGGCGGGCCUUUCAUGUUGAGGCUGAGCGCCUGGGUCUGCUGCAGAGGGUGCAGCGGAUGGUGCGGGUGCUGCUGCUGCUGCUGCAUCGCCAGGAACGGCGGCACUGCUUGGCUGGGGUGGUGGAAGGCCUGCUGGUUCCCUCCACCGAACGGGUGCGGCGGUCCGGCGAAGCCCAUCAUCUGGCUGCCCAUCUGCCCCGUUGCCACCUUCAGCCGCUGCAGCUCCGAUUUCAGGGCCUCGUUCAGAGCUGCGACAGGAUCGUGUUUGCGCUGCUCAGAAGAGGAUCUUGCAGAACGAGAAGAAGGAAAAAUGUGCAGCGAGACAGUGGUGUUCAGCUUUGUUUACCGUCUUGUAGGUGGAUCUGUUGCUCUGUGCUCUGCAGACGUAUCUUCAGCUCGCUGUUCUCCACAGUCAGCCCAGCUGUGUCUCUCUGUUUGUAUUAGCAUGUAGGAAGGAGGAAUGAUUAGCUGUAGCAGUGAGAGAUUAAGGGGAUGUUUGGUUUAAUUUUUAGUCCCUCUAUUUUAUUUCAUUUUACUACCCAUUGUCAAAUACAGAAACUAAAACUCUAUUUUAGUUUCCAUAAACAUCAUCAACAUCAACAGAGAAGAAGCGUUCGCACCUGCAGCAAUGCCAGCUGGGUCGCCAACGCUGUGGCGUCUCUCUGCAUGAACUGUACCUUCCGCUCAAGUUCAGCGAUGUACCUCAUCUUCCUUUCUUUUGAUCUUGCUGCUGACUGUCUAUUGUUUAUAAUCCUAUCGCAUGAUUCACCAAGCAGUAAUCAGAACAGACAGACAAUUAAGCGUUUCUCGAACAAAAGGAGUAAACUAGUUUUUUUUUUAUUAAGAAAAGGUUUGGUUUCUACCAAUGCCGAGUUCUUCUGAUCUCAUUAUCCUUGCAACUUUAAUUCUGACUGCAGGAUUUUUCUCAUCAAGAAAAAAACCGACAUGCAAGGAUUAUACUCCAGUUUACAACAACAAUAAAGGAAAAAAACCUUAAUGGUGGUAUUAUUAGUGGCAUGAAAAUGUAUGUAUACACAUCAAUAGCUGUUUUUAAUGCGUUCCAAUCCAACGACCAUUUUCCAAUUAUAUUCCAUCCUUUCAACAAUUCUAUUUUAAAAGUUAAAUCACAUCGACACAUCACAAUCAAGAGAGCAAAAAUUAGGUGGUACAAACUUUAAUUUAUUUUAAAUGGAGUAAGAAAAGUGAUACUUCAGAAGAAGAAAAAAAAGGACGAAUGCAAAUACUGUUACGUUCUGGCAACUGGCAAGUCUGCAUAUAUUUAGGAAGUGCAGGAAUGCAAUAUACAAUUUCCUUUGGACUAUAACCAGUUCUGAACCAAAAAAAAAA
rnacentral:lncRNA from 1 species